AUACCGGGCCCCGCUCUGGAGCUCUACCUGGAUCUUCUGCUGGUUGGUGAGGACGUGGGCAUUGGUGACAAUGAGCCCAUCCUCAGACACUAUGAACCCAGAGCCGCUGGAGGAAGGGAUUUCCUGGUUGCGGUUUUAAUGGUCAGAAAUCUGGCAACCAGCAGGUGAGGUAGUUGAUCCUAGAUGGGACCUUUACCUGCGGAACAGCUGCAAGUGGACCACAGAUGGCGCCACCUUCUCCACCACUGCGGCGAUGAAGUUGUACUUUCUCCGGAGCCGCCCUGCUCUUGUGGUCCCUGUGAAUAAACGGUCCACGGUGAGUGCGUCCCUGGAUGCAGGUGUCGCAUCUCAAAAUUCCCCAGCAUCUCCCCGUCCCUCUUUCUCUGAAGGUUCUCCAGACCAGGAGAUGAAAGGACCCUCCCUGUCCUACCAGAGGGAAGAAAAGGAGAAAGGGAAGCCCCGUGGCAGCCAGUAAAGAGACCAACAUUAACCGGGCAAGAACACCAGGAACAACCACAACAGGUUGAAUCCCUAGAGAUGGCGAAGGAAGGCCCACUGAAUUCGCGAGCGAGCGAAGUUAGAGCACUCACUUCAUCUCCCUCUGAAAAGUAAGAGAAGUGUCAGGAGAUUCGCCCGCGCCCCGCUCACCUGCUUCCUCGCAGGCACCCUUCUGCACUGGCACAGCCGGGAGCGCGCCCCGCUGGCGAGCGGCUCGGUUCUCCUUGCGGAGCGCACAUAGGCUGGGGUAGGUGCGCCCAUCGCUGCCGCACACUACCGCAUCCUCAGCACCCUCCGCGCAGCCGCAGGUGCCCAGCCACGCGCCCCCCGAGGGAUCCCGGGAGAACGGGGCGCCGCAGCGCAGCCUUGGGGCGCACGGCCGGCCCCGCGCCCCGCCACACUCCUGGCCCUCGGCCGCGGCGCACACUCGGCAGCAGCCGCAGCGAUCGGGAACCGGCGCCAAGCCGGCCGAGCAGGUAGGCAGAGUCGGGCAGCGCGUGGGAUCGCAGGCAUCGGGACAGGGCAGCGAGACUCUGGACCUCCUGGCCUCGGCCCACGGAACAGGCACGGCUGGUAGCAGCAACCACAGCAGGAGAAACUGUGUUCGCACAGCCCACAACCGCUGGAAGCUCAUCUUGCUCCCUGACCUCGUCGAUUCGACUGUUUUUCCUGGCCUGGAUGCUGCCUCAGCCAGCCUUCGGACUUUAUAAAGGAUCACAAGGCCAGACAAAGUGGGGGGACAGCUCCCACACACGGAGCCCAGGAGUCUUCAGUGUGGCACCAGAUUCAGGGUCACAGUCACAUUUGAAAGAGCAUGCUUCCUCUCACCCAGGAGAGCUUUAUGCCUGUUUUUGCUUUUGCAUUAACUAUGGACAGAGUGCUAACUAGCUUAAAUAAAAAAUGCCUCCUAGUCUCUUAGAGCUACAAAUUUCUAAUUAAAAACAGGGUUAAUUUACCUAGCAGAUAAAAGUUACACAGAUAGGAAUGAGCCAUGACCUCUCUCCCUGUAGGAAAUGGCCAUAAUUUUCUGGUAGCACAGUUCAUUGAAGGCUGAUAGAAAUGACCCCAAAGGCACUGGAAAUAGUAUCUUGCCCAGUGGAAAAGCCAUACCCUAAAUUUUGGGUGGAAAUCUAAUCUUCUAAACUCUUCUAGAACCUAGGAAAUUCCUAGCCAACAAUUCAUCCUCUGAUUCAAUUUCUUUAUUCCCAGUUUCUAUUCCAUGAAAAAUGUAAGUAUUAGGAGGAAAAAUCACAUUUAAGUCUCUUCACUAGUGAGUGUAUAGGCUCUUAUCAGACGCUAGAGUUCCACCUGGUGUGUGCAUGACUUCAUUUAACAGGCAGUGCAAUAAAGCAAAGAGCAAGUGGGCCAGCAGGCUGCACAGUAUACAAGCACUUAGCAUUACACAAAAGUUGACUGGCUAUAAAAGAGCUGUGAGACAGGAAUUCAAGAUUCACUGUGCCAAGAAAGAGUCAUUCUCCUGUCUGGAAAACAUGGAUCAAAGAUGCUUAUUGCAAUAAACAACCAUCCAUCUCUUC
ensembl:processed_transcript Gm16933 predicted gene, 16933